rnacentral:rRNA from 1 species
GAUUUUUGUCGUAGCUUGCUAUGAUAAAAAUUAGUGGCAGACGGGUGAGUAAUGCAUAGGAAUCUACCUAGUAGUAUGGGAUAGCCACUAGAAAUGGUGGGUAAUACUGUAUAAUCCCUGCGGGGGAAAGAUUUAUCGCUAUUAGAUGAGCCUAUGUUAGAUUAGCUAGUUGGUAGGGUAAAGGCCUACCAAGGCAGUGAUCUAUAGCUGGUCUGAGAGGAUGAUCAGCCACACUGGAACUGAGAUACGGUCCAGACUCCUACGGGAGGCAGCAGUGGGGAAUAUUGGACAAUGGGCGCAAGCCUGAUCCAGCUAUGCCGCGUGAGUGAGGAAGGCCUUAGGGUUGUAAAACUCUUUCAGUGGGGAAGAUAAUGACGGUACCCACAGAAGAAGUCCCGGCAAACUCCGUGCCAGCAGCCGCGGUAAUACGGAGGGGGCAAGCGUUGUUCGGAAUUAUUGGGCGUAAAGGGCAUGUAGGCGGUUCGGUAAGUUAAAGGUGAAAUGCCAGGGCUUAACCCUGGAGCUGCUUUUAAUACUGCCAGACUCGAGUCCGGGAGAGGAUAGCGGAAUUCCUAGUGUAGAGGUGAAAUUCGUAGAUAUUAGGAGGAACACCAGUGGCGAAGGCGGCUAUCUGGUCCGGUACUGACGCUGAGGUGCGAAAGCGUGGAGCAAACAG